GUGCACGCUGGCGGUAGGCCUAACACAUGCAAGUCGAACGGCAGCACAGUAAGAGCUUGCUCUUACGGGUGGCGAGUGGCGGACGGGUGAGGAAUACAUCGGAAUCUACUUUUUCGUGGGGGAUAACGUAGGGAAACUUACGCUAAUACCGCAUACGACCUACGGGUGAAAGCAGGGGAUCUUCGGACCUUGCGCGAUUGAAUGAGCCGAUGUCGGAUUAGCUAGUUGGCGGGGUAAAGGCCCACCAAGGCGACGAUCCGUAGCUGGUCUGAGAGGAUGAUCAGCCACACUGGAACUGAGACACGGUCCAGACUCCUACGGGAGGCAGCAGUGGGGAAUAUCGGACAAUGGGCGCAAGCCUGAUCCAGCCAUACCGCGUGGGUGAAGAAGGCCUUCGGGUUGUAAAGCCCUUUUGUUGGGAAAGAAAAGCAGCAGGUUAAUACCCCGCUGUUCUGACGGUACCCAAAGAAUAAGCACCGGCUAACUUCGUG
rnacentral:rRNA from 1 species